ACCCACCCUCGGUUCUCGGGCUCUGCUGGCAUCCCCCGGCGUCGGUACCGCUGAAAUGGUGGCGGGCAGCGCUGCCUGACGCCCCCCUCCCGGAGCUGCCCGCGGCAGAGAGUGCGGGGCAGCACGGGAAGGAGGCUCUGCCUUCCGUCGUACCCGGCUUACGAGGGUCUUCGGAGGAAACCCAGAGGCCAGGGUGUGUUUGUGGCAGCCCACCGCCAAGGAAAGCUCUCCGGAGCCCAAAAGCAAGCUUUUAUUUUUAUUUAAAUACUGGAUAUGUGCUGAAUGCCCGAAUCGGCCCAACUUAUGCUCUUAAAAGGGGAACUGUGCAGCAGCAUCUAGAUGCUUCCCUCCCGCUCUCCAACGACCGGAGCAAGAGGCUGAAGGCAGCCCCUCUUCGGCUGUAUUUUCUCCCUCGGACCUUCGAAGCUUGCAGGAGGACCUUGGAAGGUUGCUGCAGGGCAGCAGGGAGGCGGUAACCUGAGCUGCAGCUUCCUCUGCCCCGAGGGAUGCACAAAUCUUAAAUCCAGCUGCCCACCUCCGGGCUUAAUUGCCUGACCAAGGAAAACUGCGCUGAUAGGAGGCUGGAUGUGGUCUCUCCAGCUGGGGCUCUUCCUGCGGUCCUUUGCCAGCCAGAGCUGCCCAGAGCCUUUGUGGGAUGGGGAGGACAAGGCAGGCCGGGUGUUUGAAUUCUUUCCCAGGCCAGUUGCUCCAAAUGUUAAAAAAAAAAAAAAAAAAA